CUACGGGAUGCAGCAGUGAGGAAUAUUGGGCAAUGGAGGCAACUCUGACCCAGCCAUGCCGCGUGCAGGAAGACGGCCCUCUGGGUUGUAAACUGCUUUUGUUUGGGAAUAAACCCUUCUACGUGUAGGAGGCUGAAGGUACCAUUCGAAUAAGGAUCGGCUAACUCCGUGCCAGCAGCCGCGGUAAUACGGAGGAUCCAAGCGUUAUCCGGAUUUAUUGGGUUUAAAGGGUCCGUAGGCGGGUCUUUAAGUCAGUGGUGAAAGCCCACAGCUCAACUGUGGAACUGCCAUUGAUACUGGAGAUCUUGAGUGUAGUAGAAGUAGGCGGAAUAGGGCAUGUAGCGGUGAAAUGCAUAGAUAUGCCCUAGAACACCGAUUGCGAAGGCAGCUUACUAUGUUACAACUGACGCUGAGGGACGAAAGCGUGGGGAGCAAACAGGAUUAGAUACCCCCGUAGUC
rnacentral:rRNA from 1 species